GCCCUUGAGUUUGAUCCUGGCUCAGAACGAACGCUGGCGGCAGGCUUAACACAUGCAAGUCGAACGAGAAACCCUUUCGGGGGUGGACAGUGGCAGACGGGUGAGUACGCGUGGGAAACUACCCAGAGGUACGGGACACCAUUGGAAACGAUGGCUAAUACCGAUACGCCCCCCUUAGUGAAAUUUGGGGGGGGGGGGAAAAAAAGGAUUUAUCGCCUUUGGAUGUGCCCGCGUUAAAGAUUAGUUUGUUGGUGGGGUAAUGGCCUACCAAGGCUACGAUCUUUAGCUGGUCUGAGAGGAUGAUCAGCCACAUUGGGACUGAGACACGGCCAGACUCCUACGGGAGGCAGCAGUGGGGAAUCUUGCGCAAUGGGCGAAAAGCCUUGACGCAGCCAUGCCGCGUGAGUGAAGAAGGCCCUCGGGUUGUAAAACUCUUUCGCCGGUGACGAUUCCGUGACGGGGUUAAACCCGGGUUAAAACAAAAAAGGGGGGACAAAAAAAAAAAAAAAAAAAAGGCCCCCCGGGGGCCAAAAAUUUUUCUCCCCCCCGGGGGGUUUUUGGGGCCCAAAGGGCAAAGGGCCCCCGGCGGGUAAAGGAACGGGGAAGGGGGGGGGGGGGGGGGCCCUUAAAGGCGGUUGGGUUCCCGGGAAAUUUUCACCUUUGGGGGCCGGUUUCNAAAGGGGGGGGCCGGGUUGGGUUAAAAGGGGGCCGGGGGGAAUUGGGGGGAUUCCCAAAGGUUCCGGGGGGGGGUUGGAAAAGGCCCCGGGGGGCUUCAAACCCCCCGGGGAACGGGCUUCGAUUACUGUCCAUUCUUGAGGGCCGGAAGAAGGGUUGAAGCGGGAAAUUCCCCAGUGGUCAGAGGGUGGGAACUUCCGGAGAAUUUUUGGGGGAAAAGAAACACCCCAGAGGCGAAGGGGUU
rnacentral:rRNA from 1 species